rnacentral:rRNA from 1 species
UAAAGGAUUCCGGUAAAGGAUGGGGAUGCGUUCCAUUAGGUUGUUGGUGAGGUAACGGCUCACCAAGCCUUCGAUGGAUAGGGGUUCUGAGAGGAAGGUCCCCCACAUUGGAACUGAGACACGGUCCAAACUCCUACGGGAGGCAGCAGUGAGGGAUAUUGGUCAAUGGGCGCUAGCCUGAACCAGCCAAGUAGCGUGAAGGAUGAAGGCUCUAUGGGUCGUAAACUUCUUUUAUAUAAGAAUAAAGUGCAGUAUGUAUACUGUUUUGUAUGUAUUAUAUGAAUAAGGAUCGGCUAACUCCGUGCCAGCAGCCGCGGUAAUACGGAGGAUCCGAGCGUUAUCCGGAUUUAUUGGGUUUAAAGGGAGCGUAGGUGGACUGGUAAGUCAGUUGUGAAAGUUUGCGGCUCAACCGUAAAAUUGCAGUUGAUACUGUCAGUCUUGAGUACAGUAGAGGUGGGCGGAAUUCGUGGUGUAGCGGUGAAAUGCUUAGAUAUCACGAAGAACUCCGAUUGCGAAGGCAGCUCACUGGACUGCAACUGACACUGAUGCUCGAAAGUGUGGGUAUCAAACAGGAUUAGAUACCCUGGUAGUCCACACAGUAAACGAUGAAUACUCGCUGUUUGCGAUAUAC